AGACCACUUCCUCUGCUCCCCAGCGCCGGAUGGAUGCAGAUCUGUGAGGAAGGAGCCAGCUGCAGGCAAGCAGCUCGAGGGCAGGUUUCCAACUAAGGACUGAGCACACUCUCAACAUGGACCUCCUAACUGCUCUCGAGGAUGGACAGCUGGCCUCAAGGGAACACUGCAAAGUGGCUCUAGGAAGAAGCCACUGUCCCUCCAGACCAUAAAAAUGGCUACCAAGGGCAGAGCCAGCAGCUUUCGCUGUAAAGUUUCUCAAGAAAAUCACAGAUAUUCCCCUCUGUGAUGUUCAGCUCAGCCUGGAAAGGAGAGGUAGAAACUGAGAGUUGAAGAGGCUGAAUAAUUUCUCAAGCACACUCCCAACUCGACCACCCACAAGCAAAAAGGCAGAGCUGGGAUUCAAACACAGGUAUGACUGUGUGUGGACAUCUCCCCUGUGCUAUGCUCCCUGAAGGAAAAUUCUAAGUGGUGUUGUUUCUGGGAGAAAUCUACCUGUGUGGUCUUUAAACCUACUCUGACAGGAGCAAGGGCCACCACUCUGUAUCUAAGACCACUGGGAACAGUCUUCAGGCAACAAGGUGACCAGGGCAGCUGCAGAGGGUAUCUAUGCCCCUGCCCCCUAGUGCAAAAGUCUGUUUCUCUUUCCAAAUGGCCUGCUGGGAGCAACUAUUUAGGGAGACCAUACCUCCUCCCACACUCAGUUCCCAGGCCUGAGCCACAGAGUCCUGCCACAGGAGGGAGGACCUGCCUGUCCUGCUCCCUCCCCACUCCAGGUUCCUGGAGGCCUCUGUGAUGAUUCCCCAGGAAGGACUGCAGGAUCUGGCAGGCAGCAGGUGGCGGUGGGGGGAGGAGAGUCCUGGGAGCACAGCACUCCUAACCCCCUCUGCCUCUCACAGAACAAAGAGGGAGUCAUGCCAUGUCCCCUGCUCCCACAAAUGCCCCACCCAGAGGGGCUAAUGCCUAGGAUUGAGGGUCUUGUGUGCUGAGGAAGUCCUGUCCCCCAAUCCCCUACAAAAGCCAGAACCAGCUACUAAGGGGUUAGACACAGAUAGAACUGUCUAUAUUAACAUUUCCUCCUAAAAAACAACAGGAAUCCUGGGGAAAGACCACUGGCCUGGGACUCCAUGAGCCCUGGCUUCUAUCUGUGGCUUUAUCAGGUGACCAUAGGCAAGUCACCUAGCCUCCAUGGUCUAGGCUCUCCUGCCUGUUGGGUGGGAAUCAUUACAUAUCACAAUCAUUACAGCUGACCUUCAGGGAGGCUGUACUCUGGGCCAGGAAUUGUGUGGGUGCAUUAUCAUAUUUAUUCUCACAGCACCCUUUGCAGUAGCUACUAUUUUCAUACCCAUUCUCAGAUGAGGAAACUGUGGAACAGGCUGGUUAGGGGACAUGCCCAAAGUGACAAACUUAGCAAAGGUGGACCUGGCACUCAGUACCACAUCUGUUUUUCCAUGCUCUUAACCACUGUAACAUACAGAGCCCUUUUACAGAGAUCAAGGACAGAGGUAAAAGUGUUUUGAAAGCAAAAAAAAAAAAAAGUGGGGAGGAUGCAUAAAAUAAACAUAAAUCACCCCCCGCCCCGCCCAGACAUAAUUCAGGGAAGAGUCCUAACCCCCAAGAACCUUCUGUGGAACUUAUUCGCAACAUCAGAGACCUCCAACAUAGAAAUGACCCUCAAUAAGUCAUUUCUUUCUUCCUCUUUCCCUUCAGGCAGGAAUAAUAUAACUAACUGAAUUAUACAGGUGAGACCACGAAGGUCAAGCAAGGGUGACCAGCUUAGGCCCCUGGCUGGCAGGUAAGGAGGAGACUGACCCCAGCCUCCUGGCUCCUAGGGGAGGAAACAGUGAUGACAAAGGCCCCUUUGCAUGGCCAAGGUGGAGCCCUUUCUACCAAAGUUUAAACGUUUUAGUAUAAUAUCCAAGUGCAUCUUUUCCAACCUUAAAAACAUAUUUAAUUUCCCUAUAAAGCUGGUUGGCACUCUCCUCCUCCUCCAAAGCUCUGUAUUAGGCAGGGUUCAUAGUUGUAGACAACAGAAUGAACAGUGGUUAGUUCAGCCAGAAAAGGGAUGAUAUAGGAGGAUACUGGGUUGAUCAAAGGCUCUCUGGCAGGGCUGCAGAUUUAGAGCCAGUCAGCCAGGAACGAUGCCUGAAACAUACCUUAGAGCUGGAGAAAGAACAAAACCCUACCUUUCUUCAAUAGCUGGCAAGGUGGCAAGGUCUGGCCCCAUGCAGCCUGGGCUCUUCCCACUCUCCUCUCUCCCUAAUGCGUCGCCCUACUCGCUGCUUCCCAGGCAAUCCCACCUCAGGUCUAUGAACUUGCCAUUCCCUCUGCCUGCAACCUAGACAUUCACAUUGCUAGCUCCCUGGCUAGCUCAAAUGCCAGGUUUCUGCACAAAUGCUCCUCCUUAGAGAGGCCUUCCUGGACCUCUAGGUCUCUGGCCCUAGUACUCUAUCCCCUCUCUCUGCUUUCCUCUUCUACUUCACUGCUCCUUAACAUUGUGUUAUACAUUGUCUGUCUCCCCGACUGGAAUGUAAGUGGCACCAGGGCAGGGACUUGGGUUGUUUUAUUCCUUGCUGUAAGCCCAGGGCCCAGGGCCAGACCUGGAACAAUUAGGUGCUAAGUUAUUUGCUGAAUAUUCUGUGAAGGAAUGACAAAGGAAUGCAUAAAGAACUUCAAAGUUCAACUCCUCGAACUUCAAACUUCAAAUCCCCAACUCCUCCUGCCUAUGCUGGACGAUUAGGGCAGUAACAGGAGUCAACUUGUGCUGUGCUGUCACCUUGCCUGGAUCCGCAUCAGCCCUGCAGCUCCCACUUUGGAGGAGACUUGCCCAGGGACCUACAGCUCUGAAGCUUCUCUGACAGCCUCUGCAGCUCUUGGAACUUAUCUGGGCUGCUGCUGUGCAGACCAUGGAUGCCUAGCUGAGUUCCUGCCCCUGAUUUCCUAGAGUCUCAGAAAGACAGGGAAGUGACUUACCCAAAGUCCCCUUUCACCCUAUAAACAGUUCAGCCCAGGGAGUGAGGCUGACACGCAAAUGCAGCUAUGUAUAGACUCAGAGUCAUCCAAGGUCAGGGCUGGGUGGAGCCUUGGUCACAUGCAGGCCAACCUGUGUCUGGAGAUAAUGCAAGCCAGUGCAGGGGUUAGCGUGUACAUGGACUCUGGAGUCUGGCAGAUCCAAGCCCCACCCACCAACCUGUGACCUUGGAGAAUUAUUUGAAAAGACAUUAUUUGAAAAGCAGAUGUAAAAUGGAAAUAAAAGUUCCUAUUUAAAACAGUCA